rnacentral:rRNA from 1 species
UACAGGGGGUGCAAACGUUGCUCGGAAUUAUUGGGCGUAAAGCGCACGUAGGCGGUCUGUUAUGUCGGAUGUGAAAGCCCUUGGCUCAACUGAGGAAGUGCAUCCGAAACUGGCAGGCUAGAGUACGUAAGAGGGUCGCGGAAUUCCCAGUGUAGCGGUGAAAUGCGUAGAUAUUGGGAGGAACACCAGUGGCGAAGGCGGCUCACUGGACCGGAACUGACGCUGAGGCGCGAAAGCGUGGGGAGCAAACGGG